CUCAGAUUUUUAACUCAGAGAUCAACUACAAAAGGAAAUAGACCAAUAGCUGUGAAAAUGUACAUUUAAUAUUACAGCAAAAAGGGUUUCCAAGUCCCUAACCAUUAAAAGGUAAUAGAUAUAUUUGCCUGCAUGAAUGUGAGCAACUCAGUUGGAUUUGAUAUUUGUAUACACUGAGGCUCCUUUACAUGAAUGAGACACUAUAGGGUGUUGUUAAUGUGAGAGCAAACUAAAAUUGGAUAUGCUUUUAGGUCUCUUUAGAGAACCAUGUGAAAUAAGGAUUAUUAAACAAUCCAACUCCUAAAAAGUAGGAAAAAAAUGAGUUGGAACAAAAAAUGGAGAAAGAUUAACAUAUUUAAAAUAACAAUAAGUGAUCUAUUUCUACAAAGGUCUAUUCUCUCUAACCAAGAUUUUUACUGAUGACAUUAUUUUCUGUAAGUCCAUCUCUUGUCUUCGACGUGUAGUUAGAAACCCCUUCCUUUGAUACCUUCGAAAACCCCAAUAAAAUAUAGAAUAGAAAUUUCUUAAAGAGAAUUUUUCACUGCAUCCAUAUUACUGUAUCAAUAAAGAACAUUAUUUAAGUUUUGUUCAAAACUGCCCUUUCUCUUGUCAAAGAAAGUUAAUAUAGAAGGAGCAGAAUAAUUCAAGUAGUUGACACAAGUUAGUACACAAGAAUCUCUUUCUGUUGUGUUUGCAUACUUCCCCUAGUCAUGUGUAAAUACAGAGGAUUAAUCAGAAAGAGAAGGCAACAUGGUAUCAGUAGAACCUUGCUGUCUUUGCUGUAGCUAUUGUUUUUAUUCCAGAAGAUACCUUGACAGGCUCAAAGACUUUAUACAAAGGCAGAGCAAUUAAAAAAAUGCUGAUAUGAAAAAGGAAAGGAA